UAUUUUGUUGGUUUCUAGGACCGCCGUAAUGAUUAAUAGGGACAGUCGGGGGCAUCAGUAUUCAAUUGUCAGAGGUGAAAUUCUUGGAUCUAUUGAAGACUAACUACUGCGAAAGCAUUUGCCAAGGAUGUUUUCAUUGAUAAGGAACGAAAGUUAGGGGAUCGAAGACGAUCAGAUACCGUCGUAGUCUUAACUAUAAACUAUGCCGACUAGGGAUCGGACGAUGUUAUCUUUUGACUCGUUCGGCACCUUUCGAGAAAUCAAAGUGCUUGGGCUCCAGGGGGAGUAUGGUCGCAAGGCUGAAACUUAAAGAAAUUGACGGAAGGGCACCACCAGGGGUGGAACCUGCGGCUUAAUUUGACACAACACGGGGAAACUCACCAGGUCCAGACACAGUGAGGAUUGACAGAUUGAUAGCUCUUUCUUGAUUCUGUGGGUGGUGGUGCAUGGCCGUUCUUAGUUGGUGGAGUGAUUUGUCUGCUUAAUUGCGAUAACGAACGAGACCUUAACCUGCUAAAUAGCCCUUAUUGCUUCGGCAGUAUGCUGGCUUCUUAGAGGGACUAUCGGCUCAAGCCGAUGGAAGUUUGAGGCAAUAACAGGUCUGUGAUGCCCUUAGAUGUCCUGGGCAGCACGCGCGUUACACUGACAAAGCCAGCGAGUAUUUCCUUGGCCGGAAGGCCCGGGUAAUCUUGUUAAACUUUGUCGUGCUGGGGAUAGAGCAUUGCAAU
rnacentral:rRNA from 1 species